rnacentral:rRNA from 1 species
CCUACGGGAGGCAGCAGUGAGGAAUAUUGGUCAAUGGACGAGAGUCUGAACCAGCCAAGUAGCGUGAAGGAUGACUGCCCUAUGGGUUGUAAACUUCUUUUAUAUGGGAAUAAAAUGUUCCACGUGUGGGAUUUUGUAUGUACCAUAUGAAUAAGGAUCGGCUAACUCCGUGCCAGCAGCCGCGGUAAUACGGAGGAUCCGAGCGUUAUCCGGAUUUAUUGGGUUUAAAGGGAGCGUAGGUGGAUUGUUAAGUCAGUUGUGAAAGUUUGCGGCUCAACCGUAAAAUUGCAGUUGAAACUGGCAGUCUUGAGUACAGUAGAGGUGGGUGGAAUUCGUGGUGUAGCGGUGAAAUGCGUAGAUAUCACGAAGAACUCCGAUUGCGAAGGCAGCUCACUGGACUGCAACUGACACUGAGGCGCGAAAGUGUGGGGAUCAAACAGGAUUAGAUACCCUAGUAGUC